rnacentral:rRNA from 1 species
GAUGAACGCUGGCGGUGUGCCUAAUACAUGCAAGUCGAGCGAACGGACGAGAAGCUUGCUUCACUGAUGUUAGCGACGGACGGGUGAGUAACACGUGGAUAACCCUCCUAUAAGACUGGGAUAACUUCGGGAAACCGGAGCUAAUACCGGAUACUAUUUUGAACCGCAUGGUUCAAAAGUGACAGACGGUCUUGCUGUCACUUAUAGAUGGAUCCGCACUGCAUUAGCGAGCUGGUAAGGUAACGGCUUACCAAGGCAACGAUGCAUAGCCGACCUGAGAGGCUGAUCGGACACACUGGAACUGAGACGCGGAGCAGACUCCUACGGAAGGCAUGGGUAGGGAAACUGCAGCAAUAGGCGAGAGAGUAACCAGGCAACACGGCGUGGGUAAUGAUGGUCUUCGGAUCGUAAGACGCUGUUGAUGGGGAACAACAGAUGUGUCAGUAACCGCGCACAUCUCGACGGUACCAGAUCAGAAGGCCACGGCUAACUACGUG